AUGUUCUCUGUAGCUCUGCUGCUGCUGCUGCUGGCGGCUGGAUCCUGUGUGAAGUGUGAACAGCUGACACAGCCAGCCUCUGUGACUGUGCAGCCAGGUCAACGUCUGACCAUCAGCUGUCAGGUCUCUUAUUCUCUGGGCUACUACACAGCUUGGAUCAGACAGCCUGCAGGGAAAGGACUGGAGUGGAUUGGGAUGAAAGACAGCUAUGGAGCCUCAUACUACAAAGAUUCCCUGAAGAACAAGUUCAGUAUUGACUUAGACACUUCCAGUAAAACGGUGACUCUGAAUGGACAGAAUAUGCAGCCUGAAGACUCUGCUGUGUAUUACUGUGCCAGAGUAGACCACAGUGACACAAACCAGCAGCACAGCUGUACAAAAACCCCUCAGAGCCUGAACACUUUUAUUACUCACCAACCAGAGGAGGCGCUUUUAGACCACAAAUGA